GAUGAACGCUGGCGGCGUGCCUAAUACAUGCAAGUCGAGCGAACAGACGAGGAGCUUGCUCCUCUGACGUUAGCGGCGGACGGGUGAGUAAUACGUGGAUAACCUACCUAUAAGACUGGGAUAACUUCGGGAAACCGGAGCUAAUACCGGAUAAUAUAUUGAACCGCAUGGUUCAAUAGUGAAAGACGGUUUUGCUGUCACUUAUAGUUGGAUCCGCGCCGCAUUAGCUAGUUGGUAAGGUAACGGCUUACCAAGGCGACGAUGCGUAGCCGACCUGUGAGGGUGAGCGGACACACUGGAAGUGAGACACGGUCCAGACUCCUACGGGAGGCAGGCGUAGGGAAUCUUGCGCAAUGGGCGAAAGCCUGACGGAGCAAGGCAGCGUGAGUGAUGAAGGUCUUCGGAUCGUAUAACUCUGUUAUUAGGGAAGAAAAAAUGUGUAAGUAAGUAUGCACGUCUUGACGGUACCUAAUCAGAAAGCCACGGCUAACUACGUG
rnacentral:rRNA from 1 species